CGGCGCCACAAGUGGCAAUCACGUUUAUUGGGCCUAAAGCGUCCGUAGCCGGUUUAGCAAAUCUUUUGUGAAAUCGUCAGGCUUAACUUGACGAAUUGCAGAAGACACUACUAAACUAGGGACUGGGAGGAGUCGGAAGUAUUCUGGGGGGACCGGUAAAAUGGUAUAAUCCCCAGAGGACUACCGAUGGCGAAGGCAUCUGACCAGAACAGAUCCGACGGUGAGGGACGAAAGCCAGGGGAGCAAACCGGAUUAGAUACCCGAGUAGUCC
rnacentral:rRNA from 1 species